rnacentral:rRNA from 1 species
CACGUAGGGCGCAAGCGUUGUCCGGAAUUAUUGGGCGUAAAGAGCUCGUAGGUGGUUUGUUACGUCCGCUGUGAAAUCCUAGGGCUUAACCCUGGGCUUGCAGUGGAUACGGGCAGACGUAGAGGUAGGUAGGGGAGAAUGGAAUUCCUGGUGUAGCGGUGAAAUGCGCAGAUAUCAGGAGGAACACCGGUGGCGAAGGCGGGACUCUGGGCCGAUACUGACGCUGGAGGAGCGAAAGCGUGGGGAGCAAACAGG